UUCUUCGGAUGAAGUAUGAUAUGACUGAGUGGCGGACGGGUGAGUAACGCGUGAGUAACCUGCCCUUCAGAGGGGGAUAGCGUUUGGAAACGAACAGUAAUACCGCAUAAUGUAUUUUGACCGCAUGAUCGAAAUACCAAAGAUUUAUCGCUGAAGGAUGGACUCGCGUCUGAUUAGGUAGUUGGUGGGGUAACGGCCUACCAAGCCGACGAUCAGUAGCCGGACUGAGAGGUUGAUCGGCCACAUUGGGACUGAGACACGGCCCAGACUCC
rnacentral:rRNA from 1 species